UGUCGUAACAAGGUUUCCGUAGGUGAACCUGCGGAAGGAUCAUUACCGGUCUUUCCAACCACACAUCUGUGUAUUGUUUAGUGGCGGGGCUCUUCGGGGCUCCGCUGCGACACAAGCGUGGGGUGAUCUGAUCACCCCUCUGUGAGGCGGGUCUGCUUGCAGAUUCGCCCGCAGGCGCCUCUCGAUUCCGAGAAGCGUGGACUUCUGGGUCUUUUGAUCCAGGAGACGCGACCCCGGCCUCCGAGCGUUUACGCGCGACGAGACUAAAACCACAACCAAAACACAACUCCUGCCGAUGGAUAUCUUGGCUCUCGCAACGAUGAAGAACGCAGCGAAAUGCGAUACGUAAUGCGAAUUGCAGAAUUCAGUGAAUCAUCGAAAUUUUGAACGCAAAUGGCGCUCCCCAGUUCCGCUGUGGAGCAUGUUUCUCCGAGUGGCACCUCCACCCCCCUCAGCGCGCCCCCUCCCGGGGGCCCGCUGGACGGUGGCCGCUGCGCCCUUUGUGGCGCACCGGCUUAAGCCUCGGCAAUCGCGACCCAUGGUCGGACACGCCCGUCCUCGGACGGCCAGUGUGCUAAAAGGCUGCAAUACGCCCUCUGCCACCGGUUUUGCGCGUGAGCCGUAUGGGACCCGCCGUCGGGAGUGGGCGUUGGUUUCGACCGGCGUCCCACCACCUGUGCUCUUCGAGCCCUCGGUUCUGCCAUCGAAUGAAGCAAGACUACCCGCUGAACUUAAGCAUAUCACUAAGCGGAGGAAAAGAAACUAACCAGGAUGCCCUCAGUAAUGGCGAAUGAAGCGGGCAGAGCUCACGCUUUAAAUCCGGAGGCCCUCGCGGCCCCCUGAAUUGUAGUCUAGGAAGGCGCCAUCGGCCAAGCCCGUCGCUCAAAUCCCUUGGAACAGGGUAUCGGAGAAGGUGAGAAUCCUGUGCCGUGGCGGAGCUUGGCCGCACGAUGCGCUCUUGUCGAGUCGGGCUGCUUGGGAUUGCAGCUUGAAGUGGGUGGUAAAUUCCAUCUAAAGCUAAAUAUUGGCGAGAGACCGAUAGCGAACAAGUACCGUGAGGGAAAGAUGCAAAGAACUUUGAAAAGAGAGUUAAAAAGUGCUUGAAAUUGGCAGGAGGAAACCCGGAUGUGCCUGGCAUUGCCGGCCCACUUCAGCAGCGUGCGUGGUUGAUUCGGACCGCAAGGCCGAUGUCCUGUAGCGCGCUGUGCACUGUGGCCGGUGGUCCAGCCGCGCCGUUGUCCGCGGCACAUGGCGUUGGGUGGGGCUUCGGUGAGCCCUUCGCAGCGCCGCGGACGGCGUCCCGGCUGGGGGAAUGGGCACCUCCGACCCGUCUAGAAACACGGACCAAGGAGUCUGACACGUGUGCGAGUACCCGGGUGGCAAGCCCGCGUGCGCAAUGAAAGUGAAGGGCGUGCCCCGCCAACCGACCUUGAUCUUCUGUGAAGGGUUUGAGUGGAGCACAUCUGUCGGGACCCGAAAGAUGGUGAACUAUGCGUGA
rnacentral:rRNA from 1 species